UACGUAGGGUGCGAGCGUUAAUCGGAAUUACUGGGCGUAAAGCGUGCGCAGGCGGUUUUGUAAGCCAGAUGUGAAAUCCCCGGGCUCAACCUGGGAAUGGCAUUUGGGACUGCAAGGCUUGAGUGCGGCAGAGGAGACUGGAAUUCCUGGUGUAGCAGUGAAAUGCGUAGAUAUCAGGAGGAAUACCGAUGGCGAAGGCAGGUCUCUGGGCUGACACUGACGCUCAUGCACGAAAGCGUGGGGAGCAA
rnacentral:rRNA from 1 species